AUGUCGAUACAACUGCGGCAGUCACCUGGGAAAUCUGCUCCUGCACAAGCUCUUGUCAUACUAUGGAAACUGUUGUUAGUGACUACUACUCGUACUGCCCGUCAACCACUGUCAGACCCGCCACAGCCCAGCCCUCAUGUCGAUACAACUGUGGCAGUCACCUGGGAAUCUGCUCCUGC